AUUGAACGCUGGCGGCGUGCCUAACACAUGCAAGUCGAACGAACGAGAUUACGACUGCGACUUCGGUCAAAGAAAUUUUCAAGUUAGUGGCGCACGGGUGAGUAACACGUGGGUAAUCUGCCCAACAGCUCGGGAUAACCAUUGGAAACGAUGGCUAAUACCGGAUACGAACUAGUUUUAUCGUUAGUUGAAAGGAGGCCUCUGCUUGCAAGCUUUCACUGUUGGAUGAGCCCGCGGCUCAUUAGGUAGUUGGUGGGGUAACAGCCUACCAAGCCUGUGAUGAGUAACCGGCCUGAGAGGGUGAACGGUCACACUGGGACUGGACACGGCCCAG
rnacentral:rRNA from 1 species